rnacentral:rRNA from 1 species
AUGAACGCUGGCGGCGUGCCUAAUACAUGCAAGUCGCGCGAACAGACGAGGAGCUUGCUCCUCUGACGUUAGCGGCGGACGGGUGAGUAACACGUGGAUAACCUACCUAUAAGACUGGGAUAACUUCGGGAAACCGGAGCUAAUACCGGAUAAUAUAUUGAACCGCAUGGUUCAAUAGUGAAAGACGGUUUUGCUGUCACUUAUAGAUGGAUCCGCGCCGCAUUAGCUAGUUGGUAAGGUAACGGCUUACCAAGGCGACGAUGCGUAGCCGACCUGAGAGGGUGAUCGGCCACACUGGAACUGAGACACGGUCCAGACUCCUACGGGAGGCAGCAGUAGGGAUUCUUCCGCAAAGGGCGAAAGCCUGACGGAGCAACGCCGCGUGAGUGAUGAAGGUCUUCUGAUCGUAAAACUCUGUUAUUAGGGAAGAACAAAUGUGUAAGUAACUAUGCACGUCUUGACGGUACCUAAUCAGAAAGCCACGGCUAACUACGUG